GAUGAACGCUGGCGGCGUGCCUAAUACAUGCAAGUCGAGCGAACAGACGAGGAGCUUGCUCCUCUGACGUUAGCGGCGGACGGGUGAGUAACACGUGGAUAACCUACCUAUAAGACUGGGAUAACUUCGGGAAACCGGAGCUAAUACCGGAUAAUAUAUUGAACCGCAUGGUUCAAUAGUGAAAGACGGUUUUGCUGUCACUUAUAGAUGGAUCCGCGCCGCAUUAGCUAGUUGGUAAGGUAACGGCUUACCAAGGCAACGAUGCGUAGCAGACCUGAGAGGGUGAUCGGCCACACUGGAACUGAGACACGGUCCAGACUCCUACGGGAGGCAGCAGUAGGGAAUCUUCCGCAAUGGGCGAAAGCCUGACGGAGCAACGCCGCGUGAGUGAUGAAGGUCUUCGGAUCGUAAAACUCUGUUAUUAGGGAAGAAAAAAUGUGUAAGUAACUAUGCACGUCUUGACGGUACCUAAUCAGAAAGCCCCGGCUAACUACGUG
rnacentral:rRNA from 1 species